UUGCUGUGUGAUGUUAAAGUUUUUUUACUUAGAAACAUUGAAGGGUAUCUUCUUUUCUCCAUUUUCCCCUUCACCACCUUAUUUGAUUUGCAAAAGCCAAAGUGGGUAGCUGCACUUACCAAUUUAUAGCGAAUUGCUGCAUAUCACAUUUCCCUCAUAUUUGCACAUUUGAUCAUUUCCUGGUCACUUGUAACAAAAAAGGAAUUCAUUUCUUGAUCAAGGAAUUGCUUCUCAUUUGACUCAAGAGAGCUUGAUAAAAGGUUGUGCCACAGUUCACGUUGUUAGUGAUAUGAGCACACAUUUGAGCACCCAGAUGAUCAUAAGUGGGUGUGGGUGCGCUCGUGUAAUUGUUCAUAUUUUUCAUGAUUUCUCAGCUCUGGCAGCAUCCUAGCCUUGGUCAGAAGAGCUGAGAUUAUAAAGCAUCUUGGCUUUGGAUACGUUAAGUGAAGACCCGUAAUUGACUGAAAUGUUAACUCUCGCAGCAGGAAUCUGGUUUUUCAUGUGGCAACUACUACAUAAUUACACCAGCAUGCGAUUAUGAAGGAUAAAACUUAAAGAUGAAAAAUAGCAUUACUAAAGGAAGAGGAGGUCCAUCACUCUGUUAGUUAGCUUGAGGGGGAAGAUGGCAUUGAGAUUAUCAAUUUAAUCCUGCCCUUUAAGCAAGUCUCUAGCAUCAGCACUGGACUUGUUAGAAGGGUAGAAUCAAAACCCAAGUUGGAACAAGAUGCUGUGAAAAUUGAAGUCGACUGAGAUUCAAAAAGCUUUGACGCUUUUCCAAAAAUGCAAAUCAGUACAAGCUAUAUAUAAUUUCAGAUCCUCCAUUAACCUGUUUCAGUAAAGUGGGCUUUGAAUAAUAAAAGUAGUUGAAUGUAAUUUAUUCAACUGGAUUGAUUUGGAAGGA